rnacentral:lncRNA from 10 species
GCGGGGACUACUGGGCGGGGCUCGGCGCGGGGGCGGGGCCUGGCGGGAGUAGUCUCGGGGUCGGGGCGGGGCCCGGCGGGCGGGGCUCGGCUAAGCACAGUCUUGGCGCAGCGGCGGGGCCUGGUGGGGCGUGGCUCGGUGAGGGAGGUCUCGCUUGGGGGCGUGGUCUCCCCCAGUAGGCGGGGCUUGGUGCCGGGGGCGGGGUCUGGCGGGCGCGGGCGCGUGUGCGUGUUGUGGGCCUCGCACUGGCACGCAAGUCUCAGCAAUUCCUGAGAAUCCUCGGAGGAAGAGGCCGGGGCCCGGUGCGGCAGCGCCUUGGGGGCGGAAUCGCAGGCGCGGGUCGGGCCUUGCUGGGGCGCGGGGCGCGGCCCCCGGAGAAAGCGGCCGCCUCGGGACAGGAGGGACCCGGGAGAAACCCCCCUGGGGCGGCUCCGCAUGUCGGGGUCGCGACUCUAGGCGACCUUGGUAGAGGGGCUCGUUUGCGCCGAGCUCGCGACCCCCGAGGGAGCCACGGCCCCGUGAACCACGCUGCCCGUCCUGGCCACUGGCUGCCGCCUUUGUUUCGUGGGACCCCAGCCCGCAAGGCCUGCGGAGCCGCGGCCUCGUCCCGAGUGUUCUGAGCGCGGUCCGAGCUGCUCCUGCGUCCACUCUGCUGCCGACACCCGAGCGUCGCCUGGAGCCCUGGCACUGAGGGGCGCAGGCCGAGUUCCAGACCAGCCUGGGAAACGCAAAGCGACCCCACCUCCACAAAAGUGGGUUUUCUUUAAGUUUUUGACUAGUCCGCAAUUCACAGAAUUGACAUUUUGGCAGAUGAAGAUUGCAAGUAAGGAAACUAACGGUAUCUCAGAUUUGUUCUUUAGCAAUUUGCUAAACCUCUCCUCUGACUGCCUUUAUUAGGUAUUUGUUUUCGAGACAGGGUCUCACUCCACUGCUUAGGCUGUACUGCAGUGGCGCGAUCCCAGCUCGCUGCAGCCUCCACCUCCCGGACUCCAGUGAUCCUCCCGCCUCAGCCUCCCAAGUAGCUGGUACCACAGGCGCCAGCACGCCUGGCUAAUUGUUGUAUUUUAUGUAGAGAAGAGGUCUCCCUGUGUUGCCCAGCCUGGUCUUGAAUUGGGCUCAAGUGAUCCUCCUGCUUCAGCCUCCCAUAUCGCUGGAAUUACUGGCAUAAGCCACUACACCCGGCCUGAUCAUCUUUAAAGAAGGUGGUUCUGGCCGGGCGUGGUGGCUCACACCUGUAACCCCAACACUUUGGGAGACCGAGAAGGGUGGAUCACCUGAGGUCAGGAGUUCAAGACCAGCCUGGCCAACGUGGUGAAACCCCAUCUCUACUAAAAAUACAAAAAUUAGCCAGGCAUGGUGGUGGGCACCUGUAAUUCCAGCUACUUGGGAGGCUGAGGCAGGAGAAUCGCUUGAACACGGGAAGCAGAGGUUGCAGCGAGCCUAGACCACACCAUUGCACUCCAGUUCGGGCAACAAGAUGAAACUCUGGCUGGGCGCGGUGGCUCACACCUGUAAUUCCAACACUUUGGGAGGCCAAGGCAGGCAGAUCACCUGAGGUCAGGAGUUCAAGACCAGCCUGGCCAAGAUGAUGAAACCCCAUCUCUACUAAAAUUACAAAAACUUAGCCAGGCAUGGUGGUGCAUGCCUGUAAUCCCAGCUACUCAGGAGGCUGAGGCAGGAGAACCACUUGAACCCAGGAGGCAGAGGUUGCAGUGAGCCAAGAUCGUGCCACUGUACUCCAGCCUGGGCAACAAGAGCGAAACUCCAUCUCAAAAAAGAAAAAAGAAACUCCGUCUCAAAAAGAAGGUGGUUCACACACACACACACACACCCCCAAGAAAGCUCAGGGCUGGAAGGCAGCCAACCUGGCUGUGACCCUCAUCCUGCACACGUGAGCUUGGUGACCAGUAGCUGAUUCUUUAACUCUCUAAGCUUUGGAGUCUGGAUGUGAGGUUUAGAAUUCAUGACAAGAAGCUGGAAGGAUGCCGCCAGUCUGACUCCUGGACUGGUUCUCUUGACAUCUUUGCAAAAGCUGCUGAAAUGUUCUGGUUUCAUUUCAUUCUUUUCUUUGCCAUGAUCUCUUAGAUUUGUUCGUGGCAAUUCUCAUAAGAGUGAAGAAAAUGUUUAAAAUGGCUGUUGGGCUCCCUUUUGUGACACCUUGUGGGGAAGGUGCCCAGGUAUGUAUAGGUGCUGAGCGCACGGCCAGCAUGGUGUCUGUGGCCGGGCCUCCCUCCUGGACAGUGCGGCCACAGCCCCUGAAAGGUAUGUCUUCAUUUUUAUUUUAUUUUAUUGAGAUGGAGUCUCGCUCUGUCGCCCAGGCUGGAGUGCAGUGGCGCGAUCUCGGCUCACUGUAAGCUCCGCCUCCCAGGUUCAAGCCAUUCUCCUGCCUCAGCCUCCCGAGUAGCUGGGACUACAGGCACCUGCCACCACGCCCGGCUAAUUUUUUUUUUUUUUUUUUUUUUGUAAUUUUAAUAGAGACAGGGUUUCAGCGUGUUAGCCAGGAUGGUCUCGAGCUCCUGACCUUGUGAUUCGCCCGCCUCAACCUCCCAAAGUGCCUGGCCUUCAUUUUUAUUUUUGAACUUACCUGCCUCACCUCGUUAUGUCUUUAUCUUAUUUUUAAACUUACUCAGUUCACCCACUGUGGAAUUGGGAGUAUAUGGAAGUAUUCCCACCCCCAGUUUUAUAUACCGCCCCAGAGCUGACCAUUCUCGCUCAUUUCCCCGGGUCCUGGCCGACUCGAGUGUGCCUUUCCUUCCGAUCCUGCUCCACACAGAUCUGAGGGAUGCUGCCCUUUCCUUCUCCACCUGCCCCUCCCUCACAUCCAGCCCCACCAGCCUACACGUUAGCUUAAAUAGGGAGCUUUUACAUUCCCCAUGAAAGGGAAUCCAGGGACAGGCUGAGGCAAGAGACCCCCAGUGUUCAUGAGAUGCCAUCUAGAGAAAACACCGUGGUGCUGAAGGCCUAAGUCAGACCCCGGGGAGAGAGGCACCAGGGUGACUUUGGGUGGAGAGUCCUGUGCCUGUUCUACUUCUAUAAAUAUACUCAGGUCAGGCACGGUGGCUCACGCCUGUAAUCCCAGCACGUUGGGAGGCCGAGGCAGGCGGAUCAUUUGAGGUCAGGAGUUCAAGACUAGCCUGGCCAACAUGGUGAAACCCCAUCUCUACUAAAAAUACAAAAAAAUGGCUGGGCACAGUGGCUCACACCUGUAAUCCCAGCAUGUUGGGAGGCCAAGGCAGGCAGAUCAUUUGCGGUCGGGAGUUCAAGACCAGCCUGACCAACAUGGAGAAACCCCGUCUCUACUAAUAAUACAAAAAUUAGCCAGGCAUGGUGGCACAUGCCUGUAAUCCCAGCUACUCGGGAGACUGAGGCAUAAGAAUCGCUUGAACCCAGGAGGCAGAGGUUCUGGUGAGCCGAGAUCACGCCAUUGCACUCCAGCCUGGGCAACAAAAAGCAAAACUCCAUCUCAAAAAAAAAAUACAAAAAAAUGAGCUGGGCGUGGUGGCCUGCACCUGUAAUCCCAGCUACUUGGGAGGCUGAGGCAGGAGAAUCACUUGAACCCAGAAGGUGGAGGUUGCGGUGAGCAGAGACCACACCACUGCACUCCAGCCUGGGUGACAGAGUGAACCAUGUCUCUAAAUAAAUAAAUAAUAUGUUUGUCUGAAAGUGCCUUUUUAACAAAGUAUGAGAUGUGUACAUAAAGUGCACAUAGCGCAAGUGUCGCACGCAGUGGAUUUUCACACGCAGCACGUGAAAUGGGAAAACACUGGCCCGGCACGGUGGCUCACACCUGUCAUCCCAGCACUUUGGGAGGCCGAGGCGGGCGGAUCACAAGGUCAGGAGAUCGAGACCAUCCUGGCUAACACGGUAAAACCGCGUCUCUACUAAAAAUACAAAAAAUUAGCCGGGCGUGGUGGCGGGCGCCUGUAGUCCCAGCUACUUGGGAGGCUGAGGCAGGAGAAUGGCGUGAACCCGGGAGGCGGAGCUUGCAGUGAGCCAAGAUCGCGCCACUGCACUCCAGCCUGGGCGACAGAGCUAGACUCCGUCUCAAAAAAAAAAAAAAAAAGAAAUGGGAAAACAUUGAGGAUGAAGUAGCAAAUAUUUGAGAAUUCAACUUGAUUGGUGGCUGUUGCAGGUUCAUACGUGAGUGGUUACGUAGUGGGUAGUUAAACUGACAAUGACCAGCUGAAUUUUGGUGACAGGACUGCUCCUAAGGUUUGAAAUGUAGCGUAUCCUCUGAUUCACGGGCUAAGCUCUGCCACUUAGCAGGAGGAGCUCAUGAUAGAGCAGGUUGAGGGGAAAACUUUGCCCCAUAAGGGUUCUUCACUGCAAGUGAGAAGGUCUUGGCUUUGAGCCUCCAAUUUCAAUCAGACAGAAAGCAGACCAGUCGGCAGGACAGUAUAUGCCUCUGGAGAUCCGUGCUGAUGUGGGGGCCUCAGAUACAAGAUGCCUCAGGGCCCAGGCGUGACCCUCUCCUUCCCUCCUGCACGGAGAUGCUGUGAGAAUUAGACACUCCCACAGGGCCCUGUCAGACACUGAGCUAGCCUCUGGGAACCGGAAGAUAUUCAAAACACCAGCCACCCCCCACACACACAGACAAGGCGCUGGAGGGACAGCUGUGCAGCGGCAGAGCAUGAGAGGUCUUGAUCAGUUAACUCAGUGAGGUUAGGAGGCGAAUUUUUUUUUUUUUGAGAUGGAGUCUUACUUUGUCACCCAGUCAGGAGUGCAGUGGCGUGAUCUCGGCUCACUGCAACCUCCGCCUCCUGGCCUCAAGUGAUUCUUCCGCCUCAGCCUCCCGAGUAGCUGGGACUACAGGUGCGUGCCACCACACCCAGCUAAUUUUUGUAUUUUUGGUAGAGACAGUGUUUCACCACGUUGGACAGGCUGGUCUCAAUCUCUUGACCUCGUUAUCUGCCUGCCCUGGCCUCCCAAAGUGCUGGGAUUAUAGGUGUGAGCCACAAAGCCUUUUUGUUUUCAUUUUUGAGAUGGAGUCUCGCUCUGUCGCCCAGGCUGGAGUGCAGUGGCAUGAUCUCAGCUCACUGCAACCUCUGCAUCCCAGUUCAAGCAGUUCUCCGCCUCGGCCUCCUGAGUAGCUGGGAUCACAGGUGCCCGCCACCACACUUGGCUAAUUUUUUGUAUUUUUAGUAGAGAUGAGGUUUCACCGUGGUGGCCAGGCUGGUCUCAAACUCCUGACCUCAAAUGAUCUGCCUGCCUCGGCUUCCCAAAGUGCUGGGAUGACACUGAGCCACCGCGCCUGGCAAGGAGGUAACUUGAUCCAUACGUUUGCGUUUACAUGGUGCGAGGAAAGGGCACCCUUGGUAGAUGGAACAGCGUGUACAAAGGCCCGGAGGUUUAAAAUCACCACUCUUCUAGCCCUCAUACUAACUUUGCCUAUUUUGAACUUUAUAUAAAUGGAAUUAUAUUGCAUGUUCUCUUUUGUAUCUGACUUCCUUUUCUCAAUACUAUAUGAGUGGUAUCCAUGCCAUUUAAAGUAAUGGUGGAUUAACUCAAUGCUACGUCGCCUUCUAGUUGAUGGAGGGCAGGCAAGACCCACAGUGGGGCUGAGCCCCUCGAGGGUUCCUGGCUUUGCCCAGGAAACAAUUCAAGGGCAAGCUGGAAGUGAAAGUAAACAGGCCAGGCAUGGUGGGAGUUACUACCCCUUUCCAUGGCAAUGACCCCACGACCCAAAAGUUACUACCCCUUCCCUAGAAACUUUUGCCUGGGCUGCCCCUUAAUCUACAUGAAAUUAAAAGUGGGUGUAAAUGUGGCUGCAGAACUGUCCUGAGCUGCUGCUCUCAGCACACUCUGCCCAGCACACCCCGCCUGCAGGGGCCGUCGCAGAGCUGUAACCCUGCCGCUUCAAGCUGUUUUGUUUUGUUUUUCUUUCGAGACAGUCUCGCUCUGCUCUUCCAGUUUGAAUAUCACGCAGGCUGGAGCGCAGUGGCGCAAUCUCGGCUCACUGCAACCUCUGCCUCCUGGGUUCAAGCAAUUCUGCCUCAGCCACCCGAGUAGCUGGGAUUACAGGCACACGCCACCAUGCCCGGCUAAUUUUUGUAUUGUAUUAGAGACAGGGUUUCACCAUGUUGGCGAGGCUGGUCCCGAACUCCUGGCCUCAAGUGAUCUGCCCGCCGUCCGCCUCAGUGUCCCGAGGUGCUGGGAUUACAGGUGUGAGCCACCGCACCCAGCAAAAGUGCUUUCUCGAGAUGGAAUCUGCGCCUGGUGAAGAUGCUCUAAACAUUGCUGAGAUAACAAAGGAUUUAGAAUAUUCCAUAAACUUCGUUGGUACAGCAGCGAUAGGGUUCGAGAGGAUUUUCCAGUUGUGAGAGAAGGUCUGCUGUGGACAAAAUGCUACCAAACAGCAUCGCGUGCUACGGAGAAAUCUUUUGUGAAAGGAAGAAGCUCAAUGUGGCCAGCUUUAUUGUUGUCUUAUUUUAAGAAAUUGCUGGCCGGGUGUGGUGGAGAAUCACUUGAACCCAGGAGGCAGAGGUUGCAGUGAGCCGAGAUCACGCCAUUGAACUCCAGCUGGGCAUAAGAGCAAAACUCCAUCUCAAAAAAAAAAAAAAAAAGGAAGAAAUUGCCACAGCCACCUCAGCCUUCAGCCACCACCACCCUGAUCAGUCAGCAGCCACAAACAAGACCUUCCACCAGCAAAGAGAUCCCAACUUCCUCAAGCCUCAGGUGAUUGCUGGCACUUUCUAUCAGUAUCUUAGUUUUUUGUUUGUUUGUUUUUUAAUUUUUGAGACAGAGUCUCACUCUCUUGCCCAGGCUGGAAUGUAGUGGCACCAUCUCGGCUCACUGCAACCUCCGCCUCCCAGGUUCAAGCGAUUCUCUUACCUUAGCCUCCGGAGGAGCUGGGACUACAAGCACGCACCACCACACCCGGCUGAUUUUUUUCCAUUUUUAGUAGAGACGGGGUUUCACCAUGUUGGCCAGGCUGGUCUCGAACUCCUGGCCUCAGGUGAUCCGCCCACCUUGGCCUCCCACAGUGCUAGGAUUACAGGUGUGAGCCACCACCCCCAGCCAUUUUUUUUUUGAGACGAGGUCUUGCUUUGUUGCCCAGACUAGAGUGCAGUGACAUUAUCUCGGCUCACGGCAACCUCUGCCUCCCAGGCUGAAGCAAUCCUCCCACCUCUGUCUCCCUAGUAGCUGGGACCACAGGUGCACACCCCCACACCCGGCUAAUUUUUUGUAUUUUUGGUAGAGACAGGGUUUCACCAUGUUGCCCAGGCUGGUCUCCUGAGCUCAUGCAAUCUGCCCACUUGACCUCCCAAAGUGCUGGGAUUACAGGUGUGAGCCACUGUGCCCAGCCUAUUAUUAUUAUUAUUUAUUGUUUUUUUGGUCUUGAGGGAGGGUAGGGUGGUGGGAGCCCAGUUGGGGAGGGAGUGAGGAGUGGUCAAUAAAGUAUUUUAAAUUGAGGCAUAUGCAUUGUUUUGUAAACAUAAUGUUAUUGCACACCUGACUGCACUGUGGUAUAAACAUAACUUUUAUAUGCAGUGGAAAACCGAAAAAUCCCUCCGACUGGCUUUAUUGCGACAUUUGUGUUAUUGCGGUGUCUAGAACUGAACCGUGGUAACCCAGGCCCGCCUGUGCUAACUUCCAGCACUACCGAGGUUGACGCAGCUAGAUGGUUUUCUCCCCGGCUGGUUGCUGCUUCUCACCCACAGAGGCGGUGGAGCCCUUGGAACUGGGCAGAACACAGGGCUGCCUUGUCACCACUGCCUGGCUGAACCUGAAAUUGGGCCGUUUGACAGAAAGACUUGAAAGGGCCACCAGUAAAUUCUUUUUUCUUUUCAUUGAUUUUCCUCUUCUUACUUUCCUCCUCCUGAAGUUGGGGUCAUGUCCCAAGAAGACCCACAAGGCCUGGCCUGUGGGUGCACAUGUGGGGAGGGUCAGGUCUGUCGGCUGAGGAGGGCAUUGGUAGGGGACUUUGAGCAGUGCUGCUCCGGAGACACGAAUGAUGGGAUGGGAGGCUCUCCCAUAUCUGCCGAGAGCACAGCACCCCAUGACUCCUGGGAGCUUGUCAUAGAUGCUGCAGAUGAGUCCUUCCUCAGACGGGAUAUUUGCUAAUGCCUCUGCCAGCCUGGGCUUGUCUUCUCAGGGCCUUUCAAAAUGCACACACCCUUCAUUCUCAUGAUGUCCAGUGGAUCAGGUUUUCCUUUAUGUGUCAUGCUUUUAGUGUUUAAGAAUCAUUUCUCUAACCCAAGUCACACUGACAUCCUCCUUUUCAUUCUUAACGCACAUUUUACAGUUGUAGGCCUUACAUUUUGGCUUAUAAUAAGUUCUGAGGCCAGGCACAGUGCUCACACCUGUAAUCCUGGCACUUUGAGAGGCCAA